rnacentral:rRNA from 1 species
CAGUAGCCGCGGGAAUACGAGGGGAGCUAGCGUUGUUCGGAAUUACUGGGCGUAAAGCGCGCGUAGGCGGCUUUUUAAGUCAGAGGUGAAAGCCCGGGGCUCAACCCCGGAAUUGCCUUUGAAACUGGAAAGCUAGAAUCUUGGAGAGGUCAGUGGAAUUCCGAGUGUAGAGGUGAAAUUCGUAGAUAUUCGGAAGAACACUAGUGGCGAAGGCGACUGACUGGACAAGUAUUGACGCUGAGGUGCGAAAGCGUGGGGAGCAAACAGGAUUAGAUACCCGCGUAGUCCCUGUCUCUUAUAC